AUGGAGUAGCAGCCAAUUGUCUCUGCACUGGAUGUGCGCAUGGAGCCGAUCACCGUCGAUAUACUCUUCUCCAUGGUGGCCAACUUCGACCAGAGGGUCGAGAUGUUCCAUGGGAACGGCAGCAGCGCCUUCAAGUCGUCAGCGAACAUCGCCUCUCGCGGCCGGCAAGGAGGCAACAGGGGCAACUAUCCCAACCAGAAG
rnacentral:rRNA from 1 species